rnacentral:misc_RNA from 1 species
AAGUCGUAACAAGGUAACCGUAGGUGAACCUGCGGUUGGAUCAUUAAUAAAUUCAACUUAAAGGGGGGAGAAAUCCCCUUCUUUAAACACAAUGUGCACUUGUAAUUGUCUCUGGUGGGUCUAGUAUCCUAGCCCACUGUAUUUUAAACUCUACGUAUUUUUUGGACUAAAGUUUAAAAGAAUUAAUUUCUAACAACUUUUGGCAACGGAUCUCUUGGCUCUC